rnacentral:lncRNA from 1 species
GUUGGUGUUCCCUCGAAGCGGAAAGGGUGAUGUAGCGUAGCGGUGGUAAGUACUUCCCUCAGUUUGAGAACCAAGGUAUCAAUCCAGUGGUGGAGUAUCUCAAGAUCCUGCACAAACACAACAACUUGCUCCCAACGCUAUGAAGGGGUUGUCAAUCCCUUAUAGAUUGUUUGCCAAGAGAGAAUUGAAAGCAACAAAGUAACAAAGCAAAGUAAAAGCGGAGGUGUAAACGAUGGAUGUGAAUAGACCCGGGGGCCGUACUGUUUACUAGUGGCUUCUCUCAUGAAAGCAAGUAGAUGGUGGGUGAACAAACUACUGUCGAGCAAUUGAUAGAACCGCGCAAAGUCGUGACGAUAUCUAUGCAAUGAUUGUUUCUAUAGGCAUCACGUCCGAAACAAGUAGACCGAUACUUUCCGCAUCUACUACUAUUACUCCACACGUCGACCGCUAUCCAGCAUGCAUCUAGUGUAUUAAGUCCAUAGAAACAGAGUAACGCCUUAAGCAAGAUGACAUGAUGUAGAGGGAUAAUCUCAAACCAAUGAUAAAAGCCCUAUCUUUUUACCCUUGAUGGCAACUACUUGAUGUGUGCCUUGCUGCCCCUACUGUCACUGGGAAAGGUCACCACAUGGUAGAACCCAAAACCAAGCACUUCUGCCAUUGCAAGGAUCAUAGAUCUACUUGGCCAAACAAAACCCAAGACUCGGAGAGACUUACAAGGAUAUCAAACCAUGCAUAUAAGAAAUCAGCAAAGACUCAAAUAUAUAUCAUAGAUAAUCUGAUCACAAACCCACAAUUCAUCGGAUCUCGACAAACACACCGCCAAAGAAGAUUACAUCGGAUAGAUCUCCAUGAAGAUCAUGGAGAACUUUCUAUUGAAGAUCCAAGAGAGAGAAGAAGCCAUCUAGCUACUAACUACAGACCCGUAGGUCUAAAGUGAACUACUCACGAGUCAUUGGCGGGGCCCCCCCCCCUCCAACUCCAAAGUCCCCUCCGGCAGGGUGCCGAGAAGGGUCUCCAGAUGAGAUCUCGCGGAAACGGAAGCUUGCGGCAGCGGAAAAGUAUUUUCGAGGCUCCCCUGAUUUUUUGCGGAAUAUUUGGGAAUUUAUAGGCCAAAGACCUAGGUCAGGGGGCGGCCAGGGAGGCCACAAGCCUGCCCACUGUCGCCUCCCCCUAGUGGCGGAGUGAGGGCUUGUGGGCUCCCUGGAGCCCACCUGGCUUGGCCCAAAGGCCCCCUGGUCUUCUUCCGUUCGGGAAAAAAUCAUUUCGGGGUUUUUCUUCCGUUUGGACUCCGUUCCAAAAUCAGAUCUGAAAAGAGUCAAAAACACGGAAAAAAUAGGAACUGGCACUUGGCACUGAAUUAAUAAGUUAGUCCCAAAAAAGAUAUAAAAGGUACAUAAAACAACCAAAGAAGACAAGAUAACAGCGUGAAACCAUCAAAAAUUAUAGAUACGUUUGAGACGUAUCAAGCAUCCCCAAGCUUAACUCAUGCUCGUCUUCGAGUAGGGAAGUGAUAAGAAUGAAUUUUUGAUGCUUUCAUGCUACAUAGCAUAGGUGUCCUUUAUAAUUCCUCUUAUGUGACGUGAAUGUUCGGAUCCAUUAGAGUCAAAACAAUAGAUUGCUAUUGACGUGGAAACAAUAAUAAUUCAAGCAAACUAGCAAAGUAAUCAUGAACUUUCAAAAUAACAAGGCCAAAAGAAAGUUAUCCCUACAAAAGCAUAUAGUCUGGCUAUGCUCUAUCAUCAUUGCACAACGAAUUUAAAUCAUGCACAACUCCGGUAUUGGCCAAGUAAUUGUUUCACACCUUUACUUUCUCAAACAUUUUCAACUCUCACGCAAUACAUGAGCAUGAGACAUGGUUAUAGCACUAUAGAUGGUGUGGAAUGUGAUGGAGGUUGCAAGACAAAAAAGGAGAAGAUAGUCACAUCAACUAGGCAUAUCAAUGAGCUAUGGAGAUGCUCAUCAAUAGAUAUCAAUGUGAAUGAGUAGGGAUUGCCAUACAAAUGAUGCACUAGAGCUACGAGUAUGUGAAAGCUCUUAAAGAAAACUAGUGGGUGUGCAUCCAACUUUCUUGCUCACAAAGACCUAAGGCAAUUUUGAGGAAGCCUAUCAUUGGAAUAUACAAGCCAAGUUAUAUAAUGAAAAUUUCCCACUAGCUAUAUGGUGGUGAAAAAACGAGAGACUCUCAAUCAUGAAGAUCAUGGUGCUUAAUAUGCACAAGUGUGGAAAAAGUGGUAGCAUUGUCCCUUCUCUCUUUUUCUCUCCUUUUUUUUAUUUUGGUGGGCUCUUUGGCCUCUUUUUUAUGGGCUUAUUUGGCCUAUUUUAUUUCCUCACAUGGGACAAUGCUCCAAUAAUGACGAUCAUCACACUUUCAACUCAAAACUUAGAGCAACUAUGACUCUAUAUGGAAUGCCUUCGGUAGUGUACCGUGGAAAUGAUCUAGCAUGGCCUAGACAUCAAUGGAAACAUCAUGCUAGCUAUCUUACGAUCAUGCAAAGGAAAUGUAGACGUGGUGGAACAUGUCAUGGUGGUAGUUGCAUGGCAAUAUAUCUCGAAUUGACUUUGAAAAAGCCAUAAUAGGUAGGUAUGGUGGCUUUUUUGAGGGAGGCUAAUGGUGGGUUUUGUGCACCGGCGAAAGUUGCACGGCACUAAGAAGAUAGUGAUGGUGGAAGGUGAAAGUGCAUCUAAACCAUGGACUCAACAUUAGUCAAGAAGAACUCAUAUACUUGUUGCAAAAGUUUUAUUAGUAAUCGAAACAAAGCAUUCAACGCAUACUCCUAGGGGAAGGGUUGGUAGGUAUAAACCAUCGCGCGAUCCCGACCGCCACGCAAAGGAUGACAAUCAAUAUACUAAUCAUGCUCAGAUUUCAUCACAUAGCGGUUCACCAUACGUGCAUGCUACGGGAAUCACUAACUUCAACACAAGUAUUUUUAGAUCCACAACACCUUACUAGCAUGACUUCAAUAUUACCAUAACCACAACUCAAAACUAAUUGACAUGAAUCAAACUUCAAAACUAUUCAAUGCACAUGAAGGUGGAAGUUUUCGUAUCCCUUUGGAUAACUACCCCUUUUGAGACUACUUUCAAAGCAUAGAUCAACUACCAAGCCACGACCGCUGCGCUCCAAAAUAUAUAAGUGAAUCACAUAGAGCAAAAGUAUCUAGCUCAAAAGAUAUAAGUGAAGCACAUGUGAGCUGAAUUGUCUACCAAAAGAUAUAAGUGAAGCUCGACAAAAUCACGGUGUGUGCAUGUCUCUCUCUCUAGGUGUGCAGCAAGGAUGAUUGUGACACAACAAAAAUAAAAGACUCCUACGAUACAAGACGCUCCAAGCAAAAACACAUAACAUGUGGUGAAUAAAAAUAUAGCCCCAAGUAACGUUACCGAUGGAUCGAAGACGAGAGAGGGGAUGCCUUCCCGGGGCAUCCCCAAGCUUAGGCUUUUACGGCAUCCUUGAAUCUUUUGGGGUGCCUUGGGCAUCCCCAAGCUUGAUAUCUUGCCACUCUUUAUCUCUUUGUCCAUAAGAACUUUACCCAAAACUUGAAAACUUCACAACACGAAACUUAAACAGAAACUCGUGAUAACAUUAGUACAAGAAAGCAAACCACCACUUCCUUAGGUACUGUAGCAAACUUAAAUUCUACUUGUGCUGAUGUUGGGUUACUGUACUUUCAAUCUUCCAUGGCUAAUACCCCCCGAUACUAAGCAUAGUUUCAUCAAAAUAAGCAACCAACACAACAAAAACAGAAUCUGUUAACAGCAGACCAGUCUGUAGCAAUCUAUAUAUUUCGUAUACCUCUGGUACUUCAAAAAUUCUGAAAACUUACGACAGUCUGAAGAAUUUGCGUAGCAAUCAGCAGAAAAACGAAUCAACUCAAAAGCUCUUACAGAAAAGAAAUGAAAAUUCUUUUCGUGAGCAGAAAGUUUCUGUCUUUUCCAGCAUCCAAACGAUCAUCCCCAAGACUAAUCAUAACGGUUUUGCUUGGCACAAACGCAAAAAGAAACACAAAAAACACAAUCAUAACAGAAUUAUGGAAGUGUAGAAAACACAAAAUAGAAAGAAAAAGGAUAGAUUCAUUGGAUUGCCUCCCAACAAGCGCUUUUGUUUAACGCCCUUAGCUAGGCGAAAGUGAUGGAAUCACGUAUAGUCAUCUUUGGUGCUCAAACCAUAAGUAGCCCUCAUCAUCGAUUCAUAAGGCAAUCUUAUUUUCUUUCUAGGAAAGUGCUCCAUGACCUUCUUUAAAGGAAAUUGAAAUCUAAUAUUGCCUUCCUUCAUAUCGAUGAUAGCACCAAUAGUCCUUAGGAAAGGUCUACAAAGAAUAAUGGGACAUGAAGGAUUGCAAUCUAUGUCAAGUACAAUGCAAUGCACCUGUACAUAGUUCUUAUUUGCAACAAUAAGAACAUCAUCGAUCCUCCCCAUGGGUUUCUUGACAGUAGAAUCCGCAAGAUGCAAAUUAGGAGAACACUCUUCAAUCUCAUGAAAACCAAGAAUAUCACAUAAAGACUUUGGAAUCGCGGAAACACUAGCACCCAAAUCACACAAAGCGUUGCACUCAUAGUUUUUUUAUCUUGAUUUUCAUAGUAGGUUCCCACUCAUCAUGAAGUUUUCUAGGUAUAGAGACUUCUAGUUCAAGCUUCUCUUCAAGACAUUUCAUCAUAGCAUCUACGAUAUGCGCGAUAAAGGCUUUGCUUUGGCUAUAAGCAUGUGGAGUGUUUGCAAUGGAUUGCAUCAAAGAAAUGCAUUCAAACAAGGAGCAAUUAUCAUAAUUGAAUUCCUUGAAAUGCAAAGUGGGAGUUUCAUUACUACCCAAAAUUUUGAGUUCUUCUACUCCACUCUCCACACCUUUAUCAUCAAGAUAGGUGGACUCCGAAUCAUUGGGACGUUUUUCAACCAAAGUGGAUUCAUAUCCAGCCCCUCCAUAAGUAGGUUUGACACGCGAAAACAAAGAUUCAAGAGGAGACACACCAAGCACUUUAAGAUCUUCGUGAUGUGCAUCACUAGAACGCACCCUUUUAAACCAUUCAUGUCUAGCGCGAAUUUGGGCGGUUCUUUCUUUGCUCUCAUUCAUGGAGAUACGCAUAGCUUUCAAAGUUUCAUCCAAGUUGAUCUUGGGAGGAGCGCAUCUAACUUUCAAAGCAUCAAUAUCACAAGACAUGUUAUCAACGCUUUUAGCCAAAUCGUCUAUUUUGAGUAGUUUUUCCUCUAUGGACGCAUUGAAAAUCUUUUGAGAGUUGAUGAACUCUUUGAUAUUACUCUCUAAAUCAGAGGGUAAUUUGUUGUGAUUUCCAUAAGUGUUGUUGUAGGAAUUGCCAUAAUUUUUAGAGGAGUUACUAGGAAAAGGCCUAGGAACAUAGUUUCCUCUAAAAGCAUUGUUGUUGCCAAAAUUGUUCCUACCAACAAAAUUCACGUCCAAACUAGCGUUGCUACUCUCAAUAAAAGAAGAUAGUGGCAUGUCAUUAGGAUCUACGGUAGCGUUCCUACUAGCAACCAAAUUCAUCAACUCGUCCAUCUUAGCACUAAGCGAGUUAAUCUCUUCUAUAGCGUGCACCUUUUUGCUAGCAGGCGACCUUUCAGUGUGCCACUGAGAGUAGUUGGUCAUGAUAUUGUCUAGGAGUUUUGUAGCGUCUCCUAACGUGAUUUCCAUGAAUUUUCCACCUGAGCGAAUUUCAAGCCAGCGUAAAAUAUUUGUAUAAUCAUCCACAAACUCAAGCCAUGAAUGGGACAAUUUCUAAUCAUAAGCUUCAUCCUCUCCCAAGAUUGUGCAACGUGUUCAUGAUCAAGUUGCUUGAAAUUCAUGAUAUCGUUACGUAAGGAGAUGAUCUUAGCCGACGGAAAAUACUUGGAUAUGUAAGCAUCUUUGCAUCUAUCCCAAGAAUCGAUACUAUUUUUAGGCAAAGAAGAAAACCAAGUUUUUGCGCGAUCUCGCAACGAGAAAGGAAAAAGUUUCAACUUAAUCACGUCAUUAUCCACAUCUCUUUUCUUUUGCAUAUCGCAAAGCUCAAUGAAGGUAUUGAGAUGGGAUGCGGCAUCUUCACUAGGAAGGCCAGAGAAUUGCUAUUUCGUAACAAGAUUCAGCAAAGCUGCGUUGAUUUCAUACGAUUCCGCACUAGUGGCGGGAGCAAUCGGAGUACUAAUAAAAUCAUUAUUAUUAGUGCUCAAGAAGUCGCAAAGUUUGGUGUUUUCAGACAUGAUGUCUUCAACAAAACAACAAGCACACAAGCAAGCAAGAAACCGACAAAGGAAAACGGCAAGGGCAAAAGAAAACGGCGAAGGCGAAUGAAAACGGCAAAUGUGAAGUGGGGGAGAGGAAAAUGAGAGGCAACUGGCAACAAAAGUAAAUGCAAGAGAAGAAUUUGUGAGACCUACUUGGAUAGAUCUUGAUUUCUCCUCCCCGGCAACGGCGCCAGAAAUACUUCUGCUACUGCAACAAAAGACCUUCCAACGGCGCAAGAAAUAGGAGUGUUGCCUGAUACUCCUCAGCAAUGGCACCAGGAAUCCUUCAGCUGCGGCUACACCUUAAGGGACUUCCUAGGCAAGUAUGCAAAGGAUUUCCCCCGUGGCCUUGAAGCCUUGCGUUGGUGUUCCCUCGAACUGGAAAGGGUGAUAUAGCGUAGCGGUGGUAAGUACUUCCCUCAGUUUGAGAACUAAGGUAUCAAUCCAGUGGAGGAGUAUCUCAAGAUCCUGCACAAACACAAAAACUUGCUCCCAACGCUAUGAAGGGGUUGUCAAUCCCUUAUAGAUUGUUUGCCAAGUGAGGACUGAAAGCAACAAAGUAACAAAGCAAAGUAAAAGCGG